GUUUGCUGUGUCCCCUCCUUCCCUUCCUGUCCCUACCUCUCCCCACCCCCUGGCUGCUCCUCAGACUGUCUCUGGAGGUUAUGACCAUCCUGUGUCGCUGUGAGAAUAUUGAGACGUCGGAGGGGGUUCCACUAUUCGUAACAGGGGUUGCACAGGAUUUCCCUAGAGAUUAUGACGUUGCAGCCCCGCUGCGAGGACGUAGAGACGGCCGAGGGGGUAGCUUUAACUGUGACGGGUGUCGCCCAGGUGAAGAUCAUGACGGAGAAGGAACUCCUGGCCGUGGCUUGUGAGCAGUUUCUGGGUAAGAAUGUGCAGGACAUCAAAAACGUCGUCCUGCAGACCCUGGAGGGACAUCUGCGCUCCAUCCUCGGGACCCUGACAGUGGAGCAGAUUUAUCAGGACCGGGACCAGUUUGCCAAGCUGGUGCGG
rnacentral:ncRNA from 3 species